rnacentral:rRNA from 2 species
UUUCAGUGGAUCCCUUGGCUCGUGGGUCGAUGAAGAACGCAGCUAAUUGCGCGUUGCCAUGUGAACUGCAGGACACAUGAACAUUGACAAUUCGAACGCACAUUGCGGCCCUAGGACUUGUUCCUGGGCCACACCUGACUGAGGGUCGGUUGACCAAACUCAAAGACCAGACUGUUC